rnacentral:lncRNA from 1 species
AUGUUAAAACCAGGUAAUAUGUCCAGAAAAGGCAGGUUUUGCAACCAUAUAGCAUAUCAUUUCUACAGUUUCAGGGAACAUGUUUGGAGACAGAAAAACAAUCCUCAAUCGGGAGAUGAAAAAUUCUAUGACCAUGUAACUGAGCACAUCUCCCAUGAACAACAAGGAACACUUAAGAAGCCAUACCCAGCAACUUCCCUCAGUCUGAUAUCACCAAGUCCUUUGGAGCCAUCAGCUGUUGCACAAGGUAUAAGAGACCAGAGAGUAAUUAGUCCACUCCCUGAAGGAACAAUUAGGAAGAAGGAUCCAUGUUUCUCAGAAUCUCAAGAAUGAGAGAAAAUAUGAACAGGAAAGCUUCGGCAAGCCUUUAAACAAGUGGAUAUAAUCAGACAAGAGAGAUGACCAAUGAAGUCAGUGUGCUGUCUUAUUCCUGUGAGUAAAUUAUUAAUG